CCUCCUCGGGGAUUGUGACCUUGUCGUGGUGGGGAGGCUGAGUAUGUGAAAACUUUGUGGGACAAAAAUUUUACUGUUCAAUAAAUACUUAUCACAGAAACUAGCAACAAUC
rnacentral:ribozyme from 1 species